GGUGAAGUAAGUUGACAGGGCUUUUCCUGCAGCUGUACAUCGUUGGAAACACUUCACAGAAUGACUAUAGUUUUUCUUUACUCACAGGAUUAUUUCUUAGUCUGUGGGAAGGAACUACAAGACAGUU
rnacentral:snoRNA from 1 species